rnacentral:lncRNA from 1 species
ACAGUUGUCUCGAAGAAAUAAACGGAAGAACGUUUUUAAUCCGAAAACCGUGGAAUAUGAUGAUAGCAGUUUGAUUAUGAGGCCUUACCACCUGAUGUUGCAACAGCUAUUUUUCCAAUUUACGAAGAUCUAAGUAACAAAAAAUUAUUGGAACGAUGCGUUGGUGGUUUUACCCAGAACAAUAAUGAAAGUUAUAAUCAGCUGAUAUGGAAAAUAACUCCAAAAAUUAUUCCAGCUGGCUCUAAAAUUGUGGAAAUAGCUGCAAACAUUGCAGCCGGGGUCUUUAAUGAAGGUAAAACAUCUCUUCUUUAUUAUAUGAGUGCUAUGGGAUUAUCACUUGGACCCAAUGCUCAUUCCUUCGUGAGUAAAGAGGACGCAGAGCGCAUCUCAAUUUCGGACGCAAGAGCGCAAGGGUCGACGCGCGAGGGGAGAAUGGCUCGUAGACAACAACAACUAAACAUUUUGGAGGUAAACGACGAAGCAGAGGGUUCCUCUUAUGGUGCUGGAAUAGAUGACACGAUAUAAUUUGGACCAGAGAUAUCUUGCUCACCGCCAAGCACUUUUUUUUGGAGGUCUCUCCGCAGAUCAUCUACAGGAGCUAGGGGAUCCAAUAUUUUUUAAAUAAAUUUCUGAUUGUUAAAGUACAUUAAAUUCUGUUUAAGUACAUUUUUUCCAUUAAUGUAUAAAAUUAAAUGCCUCUUUGGAAAAAAUUCACAAAAAAACGCGUUUUUUCUGCCUCGCAAGUGGAUAUAACCCCUUAA